UACGGGGGAGCAAGCGUUGUUCGGAUUUCCUGGGCGUAAAGGGCGCGUAGGCGGUCGUGACAAGUCACUUGUGAAAUCUCCGGGCUUAACUCGGAACGGUCAAGUGAUACUGUCGGACUAGAGUACAGAAGGGGCAACUGGAAUUCUCGGUGUAGCGGUGAAAUGCGUAGAUAUCGAGAGGAACACCUGAGGUGAAGACGGGUUGCUGGGCCGACACUGACGCUGAGUGCGCGAAAGCCAGGGGAGCAAACGGG
rnacentral:rRNA from 1 species